AUAUGUACAAAUACUGUUGUGUUUUUUUUUUUCUUUAUCUUGGCAGCACAGAGAGAGAGAGAGCUGCUAUACAGUGGUUCACUCUCCUCAUGCCUGCAGCAGCUGUAGGGCUAAAACUGGAAGUUGGGAGCUGGCACUUCACUCCGGGUUUCCCACAGAGUGGCAGGCAUAUUACUUGAGCCACUGCUGCUGUGACUUAAGGUCUGAACUAGAAGAAAGCUGGAAUCGGAAGGAUGAUGCUCGUCCGUAAGCUCACACUGGCCGUCACUUCUCAGACUACCCUGUAAGAUGGUCUUUUCUUUGGAUUUUCCUGAAAAAUUAUUCAGAGAUUAUUGAAGGAGAAGCUCACAGUGAAACCACGUGUGCCUGGGGACAGUGGUGAGAAUUUACAUGGAAGGCACAACUUAUAAAAGAAACUGAUUUACUACCUGCAAAAUACAUCAACCUCUCCAAGGAAAUUGCAUCACCUAGAACAACUUCUGGCAGAGAGAGAUGGUACACGCAUACCUAUGGAGGGAGUGAAUGAAAACUUACGCAGCAGCAGUGCAUCUCAGGUAUUAACUGCAGGCCCUCAGCCUUUGAUUUGCAGCAUCCAUGCUGAGAUAUCCCAGUCUGCAAGGUCCUCAGAAAGCACAGAGCUGGAAUUCUCUUGAUAUCCUAAAUUAGAGGCUACUUUAACUAUUUGAUAUGGUGAAUGCACUAGUGAAGAUUGAACAAUCCUGCGCGUGAAGGGCAGGGCAUCUGAUCCUGCCAAGAUGCUGAGUUCCAGAACUACACAUGAAUGAGAGCAUAUCAUGGGUAAAAUGGUACAAAGCAUUAUAAAAAUAUCUACGCAUUGACCUAAUAGUUUUACAGAAAUAAACUAUUGAAUAAUUUUUGAACAUCAGGUAAGUUUAAUAAUUUUUCAUAAUUUACAUAAAAUAAUAAAUACUAUAUUACAUUAGUCUCACUAGUUUAUCUGCUAGGCUUUCAUGAAAAAGUUUGCAUUUAGCCAAAAAUUCAUGAAGUUUGUUUAGGGUUUAUUUUUUUCAUUGUAAAGCCUUCUCUCUGGAAUUCCACUCUAUAAAUUCAAAAUAUCUCAGAAAUGAUACACACUUUUUCUGGCAUUUCAUCUAUUUAAGUUAGACACGUGGAAAACAGUAUUGCAAGUAUUUUGACUUUGUUUCUUAAAAGUAGAAUGUGAAAUUCGUGGAUGGAAGCCACUAUUGCUAUCGGAGAGGGAAAUGCAGGGACACCCUCAGCCUCAAGGGACUAUACAGACUAUACACAUGAGUUAGUUCGCUCUUUACAAUAUAUUAACCUUUGUCCAAUUCAGUAUAUAA